AUGGGGAGUGCUGGCACCCUGCUCCUGCAGGCUGGACGAGGGGGAGCCCCGAGCACCAGAUGUUGCCUGGACCACAGGGAGAUGAGGGGAAAUGCAGCGGUGCCAUGUUGGGGUGUGCACAGCCUGUGCCACCGAGGGACGUGCGGGCUCCAGGGCAGGGGUUUGCUGAGGAGGACAGCAAUGAACGUGGACGCUGCUUCUCCAUGGGUCGGGAUGGGCCGUCCUGCCCCUCACCCAGGCUUCCAGCGUGUCCCCAGGGAGCUCCUGUUCGGGAGCAAGGCUUUGGGGAGGGCCUGGGUGCAGCUGAGCUCGUCCCGAAGGGUGCACGUGUACAGAACCCCCCCCCCACCCUGCUCCAUCUCUGAUGGCAGGGACCCGAUACACGCCAGAGCAAAAGCAAUAGAUGAAAAUACUGUUUUUUCAAUUAGUUUACACGUUGGGAGCUUUCAGAAAAGCAGAGGCUUCCCUUGUUGUUGUGUCAGGCUCCCCGGGGCACAAGCAGUGUGCAGUGUCUGUGUGUGCAGCCGCCCCCAGCUGCUGGCUCUGGUUCCCUGUGCUGGGUGGCAGCCGGAGGGGGGUCCCAGCCUCUUCCCCCCCCACGCUGGGGCUGUGCAGCUCCUGCUGCUCUCAGACCACGGUACACCCCGCUGCCCUCCCAGCCUCGCAGCCGCUUCCUUCGCUGCCCUGGGGCUUCCAGCUGCAGCCGUGCUGGGCAUUUCUCUCCUAGCCCCCCCCCCUCCCAUCACCUGCAGGGAGCGGGGCUGCCCAGGCCCCCGGGAGGGGCGGUUCAGAGCCUCCUCCCCAGGGAAGGAAGCUGUCUCCUGCCUUUGCCUUCCCUUGGUUUAUCCCGUUUGUCUUCACCCCUGGUGGCAGCGGUGCCGGUACCGGGCACGCCGUCCCUCCUCCCCAUCACCUCUUGGGGGGGGGCUGCUCGCUUGGCUUCACCCCAGAGUCUGCACUCAGGGUGGGCACAGCAUCUCCCCAGUGCAACUGGAGCCCGGGGAGAGGGCUCUGGGUCGUUCCCCUUUACUGGGAGAGGAGCUGGGCGCUGCUGGUGUGGGUGAGAGUUGGACCCGUGUGCUGUCAUUGCCCCCCAGAGCGAGGGACAGCCCCUGA
rnacentral:lncRNA from 1 species